AACGAACGCUGGCGGCAGGCUUAACACAUGCAAGUCGAGCGCCCCGCAAGGGGAGCGGCAGACGGGUGAGUAACGCGUGGGAAUCUACCCAUCUCUACGGAAUAACGCAUGGAAACGUGUGCUAAUACCGUAUACGUCCUUCGGGAGAAAGAUUUAUCGGAGAUGGAUGAGCCCGCGUUGGAUUAGCUAGUUGGUGGGGUAAAGGCCUACCAAGGCGACGAUCCAUAGCUGGUCUGAGAGGAUGAUCAGCCACACUGGGACUGAGACACGGCCCAGGCUCCUACGGGAGGCAGCAGUGGGGAAUAUUGGACAAUGGGCGCAAGCCUGAUCCAGCCAUGCCGCGUGAGUGGUGAAGGCCCUAGGGUUGUAAAGCUCUUUCACCGGUGAAGAUAAUGACGGUAACCGGAGAAGAAGCCCCGGCUAACUUCGUGCCAGCCGCCGCAGUAAUAC
rnacentral:rRNA from 1 species